AAGGAUCAUUAAAAUAAGGAAUGUGCUUCUGCGCAUAACUCCUCUCAUGCCUCCCUGCCCGUAAAAAAGGCUCGGGGGUUUGAAUGAGUACCUUAACCCUUUGUGAACUUUAUAUCUUAUGCUUCGGCAGCGCGUCCUUUUCGUUAAGGGCUGGUAAGGCUGCCGAUAGCCCGCUUUAAACUAUUUUAUUUUAAAAUCAUGAAGUCUGAUUACUGUUAAAUUUAAAAACAAGUUAAAACUUUCAGCAACGGAUCUCUUGGUUCUC
rnacentral:misc_RNA from 1 species